GCCUACGGGGGGCAGCAGUGGGGAAUAUUGGACAAUGGGCGCAAGCCUGAUCCAGCCAUGCCGCGUGAGUGACGAAGGCCUUAGGGUUGUAAAGCUCUUUUGGCGGGGAAGAUAAUGACGGUACCCGCAGAAUAAGCUCCGGCUAACUUCGUGCCAGCAGCCGCGGUAAUACGAAGGGAGCUAGCGUUGUUCGGAAUCACUGGGCGUAAAGCGCACGUAGGCGGAUGUGUCAGUCAGGGGUGAAAUCCCGGAGCUCAACUUCGGAACUGCCCUUGAUACAGCACGUCUUGAGUCCGAGAGAGGUGAGUGGAAUUCCUAGUGUAGAGGUGAAAUUCGUAGAUAUUAGGAAGAACACCAGUGGCGAAGGCGGCUCACUGGCUCGGUACUGACGCUGAGGUGCGAAAGCGUGGGGAGCAAACAGGAUUAGAUACCCCAGUAGUC
rnacentral:rRNA from 1 species